AUGAGUCGGAUGACCGCGACGGCGGCUCGUCUCCACCCCCCGCCCCUGACGGCAGCCGGCCAGUCUCGUCGGCCACCGGCACCUCUUUCUUUCUACACCCGAGGACCAGAUCUUGAACAGCUUAGCGGAAGUGGCGAUGGCGAUGGAGGAAACGGAAUUUUGUUAAACCUUACCUCCCUAGCUGGGUACGUCGCUUGCUACCUGCUGCGGUUUUUCAUCACCUGCUGCUCUCGUUGUCACCCAGAUAGAUGGCUAGAAAGCACCCCCUCGUUUUCCAACAGUGGAGUGGAGAAAUCGAUCGACGUUGCCAGCGGAGCUACACCAUACGGCUAUCGCUCGAUCCCGCUCGAUCCGUUUCCGACCAGCAUACGGCAUCGGCGGGCUCCUCUCUGCGGUCGUGCAAAAGGCGCUGAUCACCGUCAAGUGGGUGCACCCGGUGCGCGUCCGUGCAGUCAAGUCCGGCUGCUACAACACCAGCAUCGACGCGUACGGGCGCUCCGCCUCGGUGGACGUGGCGAGCUCUACACGGACGAGGAAAGGCGCUUCCUGCUCCUGGUGGACGUGCCGAGGGCCGGCAACGCGGACGACGUGACGCAGCUCAUGAAGGUGACCUGCACCUAUCGCGACACGGCGACCGGACUGGUGCUGGACGUGGCCGGCGAGGACGUGGCGGUGCACAGGCCGGUGGAGCUGGCCAAGGACCAGCAGCCGUCCAUGGACGUGGCGCGGGAGACAUUCUGCGUGGAGGCGACGGAGGACAUCACGGCGGCGCGCGCGGCUGCGGAGCACGGCGACUACGCGGAGGCCGCGAGGAUACUGGAGCGCAGGCGGGAGGCGCUGGUGCCGGCGCUGGCCGACGACGCGAGGUGCAAGGCGCUGGUGGAGGAGCUGCGGGAGCUGAGCACCCGCGUGGUGAGCCGGCGGGAGUACGAGAAGUCGGGGCGCGCGUGCAUCCUGACCGGCUACAGCUCCCACGCGCAGCAGCGCGCCGCGUCGGCCUUCAUGGCCGUUGCCGAGGGGUGUGGUUGUCCCCAGCCAGCCAGGGCGGCUCCUGGCGCGGCGCCGUCGAUUCUUGGUUUUGGAGCGGCUGGGGCGUACGCGACGCCGGCGAUGCUGAGGAUGGUUGCUGAAAACACGUCAGGUGUGGUGAGCAGUGGCGGAGCUUGUUUACUCCAAUCCUCUACAUGUAUUUGCUCUAGGCAGGGCGGGCCAUGGCCCAUUUUUGUAACACAAAGCUCCCCCAGUGGUGGUGAGGUGAAAAUCUCCGCCCCGUUGGGAUCCUGCCCGGAUGUGGUAAUGGUGGGUGAGGUGUUUCAGGCCCUUCAAACCGCGGCGUCGGCAUCCAUGUGA
rnacentral:rRNA from 1 species